UACGUAGGGUGCAAGCGUUGUCCGGAAUUAUUGGGCGUAAAGAGCUCGUAGGCGGUUUGUCGCGUCUGCUGUGAAAACCUAAGGCUCAACCUUGGGCUUGCAGUGGGUACGGGCAGACUAGAGUGCGGUAGGGGUGACUGGAAUUCCUGGUGUAGCGGUGGAAUGCGCAGAUAUCAGGAGGAACACCGAUGGCGAAGGCAGGUCACUGGGCCGCAACUGACGCUGGAGGAGCGAAAGACGUGGGGAGCAAACAGG
rnacentral:rRNA from 1 species